UCCAGAGUCCAGGACCUGGCUUGUAUCUAAUGACCUCUCGCUCUCUGCCCACCAGAAAAGUUCCAGGAAGAAAAAUAACAUCACAAAAUGAAGAGGUGGUCCUCAACUUUGGCAGACUGAGGUUGAGUGUGAACGAACUGCGAGUCCCCAUCUGUCAUGAAGAGCACCUGUGCUUCCACACAGACCCUGGAAGGAUGAGAGAAAUCUGUCACGUGCCCCACACCACGCACCUGUCACCUGGCCAAGCUACUGAAGCGCUGUUACACGGCUACAGGGGCGCUGUUGCAUUCGUCUCCUGCAGUCACUCAUGUAAGAAAUGCCUUCUCUCUUAGGCCUCCACAAACUCCUGAAGCUGGAGGGCGGAGGAGUAAGAGCCCGGGGACGCCAAAAUAAACGAGCAGGUGAAAGGGAAAGACCAGGGGCAUGUGAAUGGAAUAAAGUAAAUAUACUUUACUUCGAUGU
rnacentral:lncRNA from 1 species